rnacentral:tRNA from 1 species
GGAGAAGUGGCUGAGCGGUUUAAAGCGUGCCCUUGCUAAGGGUAAGUUCGGGUUAAACUGAACCGGAGGUUCAAAUCCUCUCUUCUCCGCAA